UUUGAGUUUUGCUUCUCUCUCCUGACUGAAAACAGCCUACAGAUCAGGUAAGUGAGGCAUGGGGCGCAGCCUGCAGGUCAUGUAAGUGAGGGAUGGGGGGAAGCCUACAGAUGUGGCAAGAGAGGCAUGGUGGGGGCAACCUACAGAUCAGGUAAGUGAGGGGAAUCAGGUAAUUAUGGGAUGGGGAGACAGCCUACAGAUCUGGGAAGUGAGGCAAGGGGGCAGCAUACAGCUCUGGUAAGGGAGGCAUGGGAGGGCAGCCUACAGAUUAG